CGCAACUAUAUUCAACGUGCGGGACAAAAUUGAGGCUAUGAUUAGCUCUUCUCUGUCUGCAUUAACAAGGAAAACACACAGGUUAUUCCAUCAUUGUAUGAUUUUUGUGUCCAACAGCUUUCCCAAUGCCUCCUGCACCUUCUGGACCACAAACGGAAUAUUCCUUCCUCUUUUCCAGAGCACCCCAUCAGCAAACAGGGAGAGGCCAAAACCAGGCCCGACAUCCUGGAACAUGUUAUUCAUCAUUAUAUUAAACAAAAUUGGAC
rnacentral:lncRNA from 1 species